CACGUAGGGUGCGAGCGUUGUCCGGAAUUAUUGGGCGUAAAGGGCGCGUAGGCGGCCACCGCAAGUCGACUGUGAAAUCUCCGGGCUUAACCCGGAAAGGUCAGCCGAUACUGCGGGGCUAGAGUGCAGAAGGGGCAACUGGAAUUCUCGGUGUAGCGGUGAAAUGCGUAGAUAUCGAGAGGAACACCUGCGGCGAAGGCGGGUUGCUGGGCUGACACUGACGCUGAUGCGCGAAAGCUAGGGGAGCGAACGGG
rnacentral:rRNA from 1 species